AACGCUUCUCGGCCUUUUGGCUAAGAUCAAGUGUAGUAUCUGUUCUUAUCAGUUUAAUAUCUGAUACGCGCCCUAUCUGGGUGCCAUAUAUUAAAUGGAUUUUUGAAACAGGGAGAUGGAAGAAGACCUUGCUCUGUCCACUCCACGCAUUGACCUGGUAUUGCAGUACCUCCAGGACCGGUGCACCCCUC